CCUACGGGAGGCAGCAGUGAGGAAUAUUGGUCAAUGGGCGGAAGCCUGAACCAGCCAAGUCGCGUGAGGGAUUAAGGCCCUGCGGGUCGUAAACCUCUUUUGCCGGGGAGCAGAGGUCCGGACGUGUCCGGGCCGGGAGAGUACCCGGAGAAAAAGCAUCGGCUAACUCCGUGCCAGCAGCCGCGGUAAUACGUAGGUGGCAAGCGUUGUCCGGAUUUACUGGGUGUAAAGGGCGUGCAGCCGGGAGGACAAGUCAGAUGUGAAAUCCCGCGGCUCAACCGCGGAACUGCAUUUGAAACUGUUUUUCUUGAGUACCGGAGAGGUCAUCGGAAUUCCUUGUGUAGCGGUGAAAUGCGUAGAUAUAAGGAAGAACACCAGUGGCGAAGGCGGAUGACUGGACGGCAACUGACGGUGAGGCGCGAAAGCGUGGGGAGCAAACAGGAUUAGAUACCCCUGUAGUC
rnacentral:rRNA from 1 species